rnacentral:rRNA from 1 species
CCUACGGGUGGCAGCAGUGAGGAAUAUUGGUCAAUGGCCGUAAGGCUGAACCAGCCAAGUCGCGUGAAGGAAGAAGGAUCUAUGGUUUGUAAACUUCUUUUAUAGGGGAAUAAAGGUAUCCACGUGUGGAUAUUUGCAUGUACCCUAUGAAUAAGCAUCGGCUAACUCCGUGCCAGCAGCCGCGGUAAUACGGAGGAUGCGAGCGUUAUCCGGAUUUAUUGGGUUUAAAGGGUGCGUAGGCGGUCCGGAAAGUCAGCGGUAAAAGCCCGGGGCUCAACCCCGGCGAGCCGUUGAAACUGUCGGACUAGAGACGGCGAGAAGUACGCGGAAUGCGCGGUGUAGCGGUGAAAUGUAUAGAUAUCGCGCAGAACUCCGAUUGCGAAGGCAGCGUACCGGCGCCGGACUGACGCUGAGGCACGAAAGCGUGGGUAUCGAACAGGAUUAGAUACCCGAGUAGUC